rnacentral:lncRNA from 1 species
AUGCAAACUUGUUGCCAACCAAAUUACUGCAAAAUGCAUCAUGAAAAAAGAUGUGAUCGUAAGUCUCCUCACAAGAUUGGAACACCAAUAGCUCAUCCUGUAGCUAGAAAAUGACUUCAAGUACUAUAGAGCAUCCCAUGAGCAAUAAAAGAUUGAUAAAGUGCAAAAGAAGAGUCCUCACUUUAGAUAUCUAACUAAAAGUAUAAAUUAUCAUUUUU